rnacentral:lncRNA from 1 species
GUUUUAGACUCUUGUUUCUUGGGGCAGUGCAACCAGGGCAUCUCAGAAGCUUGCUCACCUGGUCAGUCAUGACAGUCCAGAACAGAGUCCCUGAAUAGGGUCCCCAGGUAUUUUCACAUAGCGGAAGGCUAGUGAGGCUACCAGGGGAUUGGCAGGCCCCAAAGAAGAUCUGAAAUGUGGGAGUAAGGUCACUUUUCAGCCUAAGAAAGCAUGGCAGCUCUCAGCGUCCUGUCACCAAGAGCACCUAUGCUAAGGCUCAGGGCAGCAGGCCCAGGGCCUUCUGCUGCAGGGCAGAUGGAGCCGGGAACAGAGGCUCCGAAGUAGCCUGAGUUGGGAGCCCCUCAAUUCUCUCUGUCUCCUUUCCUCUUCCCCAGGCCAGGCAGUCUUGCUGGAUUGGUUGGGAGAAACUGCCCUGGAAACACUGGGCCACAAAAUUCCACGAGUCUUCCCCUCACCAACUAACUCCAGCCAGAAGGUUCUGUUUUGCCGAAAGCUUGCCACAGUCUCAUCUGGAAGUUCCUGGUGGCACAGCUGGUCUCCACCCAACCUAGGAAGUCCCCAUUGGUUAGGGGGUCUGUUAGAAAAGGCAGGUACCUUCCUGCUACUCCUGGGGGAACCCAUGUGGACAAACAGAGGUUUCCGAGGGCACUUCCUUCGGAUCCUUCAUCUGGGGCAAGCAGAGACCGUGGGCAGCAGAGGCCAGGGCAGAACGAGCAGGAGCAGCAACCAGAACCUGAGGUGGAGAAGUGUGCGGGCAGGAAGGAGGAAGGAGC